rnacentral:rRNA from 1 species
UUUAUGGAGAGUUUGAUCCUGGCUCAGGAUGAACGCUGGCGGCGUGCCUAAUACAUGCAAGUCGAGCGAACGGACGAGAAGCUUGCUUCUCUGAUGUUAGCGGCGGACGGGUGAGUAACACGUGGAUAACCUACCUAUAAGACUGGGAUAACUUCGGGAAACCGGAGCUAAUACCGGAUAAUAUUUUGAACCGCAUGGUUCAAAAGUGAAAGACGGUCUUGC